rnacentral:rRNA from 1 species
AUGUAGCAAUACAUUCAGUGGCGAACGGGUGAGUAACGCGUGGAUAAUCUACCUAUGAGAUGGGGAUAACUAUUAGAAAUAGUAGCUAAUACCGAAUAAGGUCAGUUGAGAUGUCAAUUGAUGAAAGGAAGCCUUUAAAGCUUUGCUUGUAGAUGAGUCUGCGUCUUAUUAGCUAGUUGGUAGGGUAAGAGCCUACCAAGGCUAUGAUAAGUAACCGGCCUGAGAGGGUGAACGGUCACACUGGAACUGAGAUACGGUCCAGACUCCUACGGGAGGCAGCAGCUAAGAAUCUUCCGCAAUGGGCGAAAGCCUGACGGAGCGACACUGCGUGAACGAAGAAGGUCGAAAGAUUGUAAAGUUCUUUUAUAAAUGAGGAAUAAGCUUUGUAGGAAAUGACAAGGUGAUGACGUUAAUUUAUGAAUAAGUCCCGGCUAAUUACGUGCCAGCAGCCGCGGUAAUACGUAAGGGGCGAGCGUUGUUCGGGAUUAUUGGGCGUAAAGGGUGAGUAGGCGGAUAUGCAAGUCUGUGCGUAAAAUACCACAGCUCAACUGUGGAGCUAUGCUAGAAACUGCAUGACUAGAGUCUGAUAGGGGAAGUUAGAAUUCCUGGUGUAAGGGUGGAAUCUGUUGAUAUCAGGAAGAAUACCAGAGGCGAAGGCGAACUUCUAGGU